rnacentral:rRNA from 1 species
AUUGAACGCUGGCGGCAUGCUUUACACAUGCAAGUCGGACGGCAGCGGGGUAGUGCUUGCACUACUGCCGGCGAGUGGCGAACGGGUGAGUAAUAUAUUGGAACGUACCGAGUAAUGGGGGAUAACCAAUCGAAAGAUUGGCUAAUACCGCAUACGCUCUGAGGAGGAAAGCAGGGGACCUUCGGGCCUUGCGUUAUUCGAGCGGCCAAUAUCUGAUUAGCUAGUUGGUGGGGUAAGGGCCUACCAAGGCGACGAUCAGUAGCGGGUCUGAGAGGAUGAUCCGCCACACUGGGACUGAGACACGGCCCAGACUCCUACGGGAGGCAGCAGUGGGGAAUUUUGGACAAUGGGCGCAAGCCCGAUCCAGCCAUGCCGCGUGUCUGAAGAAGGCCUUCGGGUUGUAAAGGACUUUUGUUAGGGAAGAAAAAGGAGCGGUUAAUACCCGUUUCUGCUGACGGUACCUAAAGAAUAAGCACCGGCUAACUACGUG